ACAAGCAGUGGAGUAUGUGGUUUAAUUCGAAGCAACGCGAAGAACCUUACCAGGGCUUGACAUCCCUUGAAGCAGCUAGAGAUAGCUGUGUCCUUCGGGACAAGGAGACAGGUGGUGCAUGGUUGUCGUCAGCUCGUGUCGUGAGAUGUUCGGUUAAGUCCGCUAACGAGCGCAACCCUCGUCGUAUGUUAUAUGUGUCAUACGAGACUGCCGGUAAAAGCCGGAGGAAGGUGAGGAUGAUGUCAAGUCAGCAUGACCUUUAUAUCCAGGGCUACACACACGCUACAAUGGUCUGUACAAUGGGUAGCCAAGCCGCGAGGCGGAGCCAAUCCUGAAAGCAGGCCUCAGUUCAGAUUGCAGUCUGCAACUCGACUGCAUGAAGCCGGAGUUGCUAGUAACCGCAGGUCAGCAAUACUGCGGUGAAUACGUUCCCGGGUCUU
rnacentral:rRNA from 1 species